rnacentral:lncRNA from 1 species
UGAUCAAAUUCAAUAUGAACGGCUUAGUCCUGAAAAUUUUAAAUUAACUUUACAUUCAAGACAAUAUAAGAAUAUACUUAUAUAAAAUUGAUAAGCAAGAUUAAUUCUAUGCAAAAACAUAAAUCUCAGUUGGGACCAAUGCAUUCUCCCAAUUUAGGCUGAGAUUUACUUUACAUCUUACAACGGGACCAAUGCAUAAAACAUAAAUCUCACUCUUUUUUUCUUCUCCUUUUCAAGUCUUAAGCUGGACCAAUGCGUUCUCAUUCUCAAUUUUAACAACAUCAUCCCUAACAAUUUAGCAACCCACUUGUCAGGAAGCAAAAUUUGUAUCCUGCUUCCUUAUGUCAAAUAGUUAAUUAUCAGAUAGUGAACUAUAAACUAGUAACCUGCAAGUCAUUGAUCUAACAGUUUCUGAUCUCGAAUAAUCACUUAUAAGUUAUAAAUUCCAUGUCUGUAUAUAUUGGGAUGGGAUGCAAAUAGAUCAAUUAUGGGCAUGGAGUUGCAUCGUUGUUCUUUUGGCCUAAAAAAUGUGCAAUUGUUCAAGAGAUAACUUCCGAAUGACACUUUUGAUGCUUUUAAAGAAGAUUGUUUGUCCCGUGAGCAUAGCUCAGUUAGUAGGACAAUGCAUUAUUAUAUGCAGGGGUCGGGGUUCGAAUCCCGGACACCCCACUUAUUCACCUUAUAAGGUAAAUUCUAGCCACUAGACUACCUAACAAAAAAAAGGACACAAUAUUGCACAUAUCAACCCCUUGAGCCAAUGUGGUUUGGAUAAGAGGAACUAACUUAACUGCUCAAAUAAAUAAAUAUUUUACUGCAAACAGGAUUAGAGUAAAAAAGUGAGAAAAUAAAGCACAUGACAUCAAUUGCAACUUUUUUUUGAAAAAAAGAAUAUGGAGAAUGUUAACCGGUGCCUCUGGGGCAUUGGUUAAACAGCCAGAAGUAAUAAGAUUUUAUUAAAGAGUGGAGUAAUAAUUAGUUGAUCAAAAGUAAAAGUUUAUAUUUGUAAGACAGUUUUUCUACUUUUGAAUUCCUUAAUCAAUGCUCCGAGGACACCGAUUAACAAGAUCCAAAGAAUAUGACAAUCAGACAAAUCACUAUGCACCUUAAUCAUGAGGGGAGGAAGAAUAGCUGUCAGAUGUCUUCCAUGAUCUUUUUUUUUUUUCUUUCAGCAAAUGAAUCUUCUUUUGAUGCCAACUCAACUGAAAUCCACAAAUAAUACCAGCAACAAUAUUGAAAUCAAAUCAAUAUACUAUAAAUUAAAAUGCAUACACGUUAUAAUGUUCAAUUGAUCAAUCAUAGAGAUAAAAUUUGAAUUGUACCAAAAAAAUAAAAAAGUGAUAAAAUGUGAAAGCCAUAGUACAAAUACAGUUUCAUUUCAACGUAGCAUGCCAAUGUGAAUGAUCGUCGAAAUAAUGAAAGAAGACAACAAAUAUUUCAAACAGAAACAAAUAAAUUCAAGGCAAACUAUCAACCACACACUCAGACACUUCCAUCCAAUUUGUUCCGUGACUGAUAAAUGGAUCAUUUGCUUAUUUUAGAAUCACAAUAUCGAUUUGAUAUGGCUUCAUUUGGUCAAUCAUGUUGCUAUAUAUGGUUAUUUUUCCUUCAUAAUAU